UACAGAGGGUGCGAGCGUUAAUCGGAAUUACUGGGCGUAAAGCGUGCGUAGACGGUUAUUUAAGUCGGGUGUGAAAGCCCCGGGCUCAACCUGGGAAUUGCAUUCGAGACUGAAUAGCUAGGGUACGGUAGAGGGAAGUGGAAUUUCCGGUGUAGCGGUGAAAUGCGUAGAUAUGACAUAGAACACCAAUUGCGAAGGCAGCUCGCUACACGAAGAUUGACUCUGAGGCACGAAAGCGUGGGGAUCAAACAGG
rnacentral:rRNA from 1 species